GGUUGUAUGGCUGAGUGGUUUAAAGCAUAAUACUUGAGUUAUUAAGACUAAAUAGUCCACAUGUUCGAAUCAUGUUGCAUCCG
rnacentral:tRNA from 1 species